AGGGAAGAAGCGCAAGUGACGGUACCUGCAGAAGAAGCACCGGCUAACUACGUGCCAGCAGCCGCGGUAAUACGUAGGGUGCGAGCGUUGUCCGGAAUUAUUGGGCGUAAAGAGCUCGUAGGCGGCUUGUCGCGUCGGAUGUGAAAGCCCGGGGCUUAACCCCGGGUCUGCAUUCGAUACGGGCAGGCUAGAGUGUGGUAGGGGAGAUCGGAAUUCCUGGUGUAGCGGUGAAAUGCGCAGAUAUCAGGAGGAACACCGGUGGCGAAGGCGGAUCUCUGGGCCAUUACUGACGCUGAGGAGCGAAAGCGUGGGGAGCGAACAGGAUUAGAUACCCUGGUAGUCCACGCCGUAAACGUUGGGAACUAGGUGUUGGCGACAUUCCACGUCGUCGGUGCCGCAGCUAACGCAUUAAGUUCCCCGCCUGGGGAGUACGGCCGCAAGGCUAAAACUCAAAGGAAUUGACGGGGGCCCGCACAAGCAGCGGAGCAUGUGGCUUAAUUCGACGCAACGCGAAGAACCUUACCAAGGCUUGACAUAUACCGGAAACGGCCAGAGAUGGUCGCCCCCUUGUGGUCGGUAUACAGGUGGUGCAUGGCUGUCGU
rnacentral:rRNA from 2 species